rnacentral:rRNA from 1 species
UGGGGAAUAUUGGACAAUGGGCGAAAGCCUGAUCCAGCCAUGCCGCGUGUGUGAAGAAGGUCUUCGGAUUGUAAAGCACUUUAAGUUGGGAGGAAGGGCAGUAAGCGAAUACCUUGCUGUUUUGACGUUACCGACAGAAUAAGCACCGGCUAACUCUGUGCCAGCAGCCGCGGUAAUACAGAGGGUGCAAGCGUUAAUCGGAAUUACUGGGCGUAAAGCGCGCGUAGGUGGUUCGUUAAGUUGAAUGUGAAAGCCCCGGGCUCAACCUGGGAACUGCAUCCGAAACUGGCGAGCUAGAGUAGGGCAGAGGGUGGUGGAAUUUCCUGUGUAGCGGUGAAAUGCGUACAUAUAGGAAGGAACACCAGUGUCGAAGGCGACCACCUGGGCUCAUACUGACACUGAGGUGCGAAAGCGUGGGGAGCAAACAGG